rnacentral:rRNA from 1 species
UGGAUAACCUGCCUCAAGGCUGGGGAUAACAUUUGGAAACAGAUGCUAAUACCGAAUAAAACUUAGUAUCGCAUGAUAUCAAGUUAAAAGGCGCUACGGCGUCACCUAGAGAUGGAUCCGCGGUGCAUUAGUUAGUUGGUGGGGUAAAGGCUUACCAAGACAAUGAUGCAUAGCCGAGUUGAGAGACUGAUCGGCCACAUUGGGACUGAGACACGGCCCAAACUCCUACGGGAGGCUGCAGUAGGGAAUCUUCCACAAUGGGCGCAAGCCUGAUGGAGCAACGCCGCGUGUGUGAUGAAGGCUUUCGGGUCGUAAAGCACUGUUGUAUGGGAAGAAAUGCUAAAAUAGGGAAUGAUUUUAGUUUGACGGUACCAUACCAGAAAGGGACGGCUAAAUACGUGCCAGCAGCCGCGGUAAUACGUAUGUCCCGAGCGUUAUCCGGAUUUAUUGGGCGUAAAGCGAGCGCAGACGGUUGAUUAAGUCUGAUGUGAAAGCCCGGAGCUCAACUCCGGAAUGGCAUUGGAAACUGGUUAACUUGAGUGUUGUAGAGGUAAGUGGAACUCCAUGUGUAGCGGUGGAAUGCGUAGAUAUAUGGAAGAACACCAGUGGCGAAGGCGGCUUACUGGA